UUCAGUCUACUUUUGAAAACCACAACAAUAUUAUAAGUUUGGUAAAUCCUUAUCAACACUUGAUAGAAUAACAUAGCAUACGUCUAGCCGAAAGGAUUGGCUUUGACCUCCUCAGAUACUAACUCAUGCGAAGAAUACAUGAAUCACAAAGACUUGUCCAGAUCGAACUGGAAUAAGGGUUAGAGUACUUGCCUUUAGCGUCUGCUUAUAGAUAUAACACGUGCACUUUAUGUCUUUAAGG
rnacentral:lncRNA from 1 species